CCGCUCACUGUCAUGACAAGUGGACAGAUGCCCCGGGCCUCAGUUGACCCAUCUGUAAGUGGGGCCACGCGACAGCACCUCUGUCACAGGGCUGGGUGUGGGGUGAACAGGCUGGUCCCUGGAGGCAAGUAGUGUGGUGCCCUGAGGCCUGAGGCCAGGCUCCAGGACCGCUCAAGGAACAGGGGAUUUGAGGCAACUCAGAGAGGACAGGCCCAGCAGCCGGCCCCAGCCUGAUAUCUUCCCUCCGCUCAGGCCCCAGACGCAGCUGCAUCCUGGAGUCCUUCUGAGAAAUGUGGGACCUGCCCCAGCUCCACCCCAGGUGAGGGGCACCAGCCAGCUCCAGAGCUGCCUACCUUCCCUGUCAGGUGCACAGGUCAGCGCCAGGCCAACCCCAGAGCGAGAACACCUGUGCUGGACUGAGCUGGAGCAGCAGGGUGGCCUGCACCGGGGCAGCGAGGGAGGCGUUGGAUGGAGCCACCCCACGGCUCCUCUGUGAAGGUCUGCACGUCACUCAGAAAGUUGAAGCAAACCAAGCAGGGUUGGAGCCCACAGUUCACAGCCGGCUGCACAGGGGAUGCACCAAGCACAGUUUCCUAUGACAAGUGGAAACCUGUGCGCCACAGCAAAACUCCGUCACCACAGCAGCAGAUGGCUCCGAAGAAGUGGAGCGUUUUCAUCAGGUUCAACUUUGAAACCUCCACCA
rnacentral:lncRNA from 1 species